GGCGCCAAAAACAAAACUGGCGGGAAAGACAGACAUCAAAUGCUCUUCUCUACUCGCAGGAAGCCAUCCAGCCCUAAUUCUUCAACAUUAUCAUUUUGUUCUACUCCAAAUUUAUUGGAAACGGUUUUGGUCUUGGGAGAGUGGAGAGCGAGGUGGAGAGUUGUGGAGCCUUCAAGGUAUUUCGCCAGACAUCAAACCAUUACAACAUUCAUUCUCAUUUACUGACUAUAUAGAAGAGUUGGAGAAUAGCAAUAUUAGUUUAUUUUAAGGCAGAAAUUCGCGUAUUGAAAAUUGAAAUUUUUUGGAUUUCUUGAA